rnacentral:rRNA from 1 species
GACGAACGCUGGCGGCGUGCUUAACACAUGCAAGUCGAGGGAGAACCGGCCUCGGGCCGGGGAGACCGGCGAACGGGUGAGUAACACGUGAGGAACCUGCCCUGUAGACCGGAAUAACCACGGGAAACUGUGGCUAAUGCCGGAUAAUCUCGGAUGACCACUUGGAUGUUCGAGGAAAUGGUCUGCCGCUACAGGAUGGCCCCACGGCCUAUCAGCUAGUUGGUGAGGUAACGGCCCACCAAGGCGA